UCUGGUGAGGUGCAGAGCUUAGCUGAUUGGUGAACAGUGAUUGUUUCCCUCUUUGUUCACAGUGGCUAAGUUCUGCACCUGGA
rnacentral:pre_miRNA from 17 species